UGCAAUAGAGUGGGAAGAUUUUUAAGUAGAGGUGAUAAACCUAUCGAACUUAGAGAUAGCUGGUUUUUUAAGAAAAGAUUUUUAGUUCAGCCCCGAGCCUCCCACUUAUACAAAAACCUCACUAGGCUCAGGAGUCAUUCAAAUAAGGCACAGCUUAUUUGAAACAGGAUACAACCUAGAAAAAAGGGUAAAUAUAUGAAAUUCUUAAUAAGUGGGCCUAAAAGCAGCCACCUUUUAAAAAGCGUCAAAGCUUAGCAUUAACAAUUUUAUAAAUAACCAUAUUAACUUCUAACCCUUACCCGCUAUUAAAAAACUCCAUAAUAUUAUGGAAGCUAUUAUGCUAGAACAAGUAACAAGAAAAAGACUUUCUCCAAAAUGUAAGCUUAAGCCAUAAUAGACCAACUAAUGGCAAUUAACGUUUAUAAGCCACUUGUAAAAACACAACAAGAAAACCUUACAUAAUUUUACCGUUAAUCUUACACCAGCGCAU
rnacentral:rRNA from 1 species